GAGUCAAACGUCGGGUCAUAUGGCAGCUAGCCUCAUCUGAGUCGCGCUUGCAAAUGUAAAUAAGUCUUUGCCGAGAAGAUAAGACCCUAGACUACCUUUGAAAUAUCCGUAAAACCAAUUGAAGCGGAAAAUACAAUUAGCGAGAAGCUACUAAAGUCUAAAGACCGAGCGACUCCCCCUCCUAACAACUCAUCCGCAUCGCUCAUCGAAAAUAUCCAUCCCCCCAAAACAUCCAAGGAAUGCCCUGACCUGACCAUCUGAAUGAUAAGAUAUUCCACAUUCGAGUAUUUCAGGUUACAAAUGGAAAUCUAGCCGAAACGAAAAACGCCACUGCUAAACGAAAGAAAGGAACUGUCCAUAUAGAUGGCUUUAAAGAUAGAAUACUUCGAGAGAGCACUUUACAAUAUGAGAGAAAGCUUCCCUUCUUUUGCUUAUUCGAUACUGCUGGCCUAGAAAUGGCGGGGGCUUGGCUUGCCUGAGGACAUAAACUGUUGAUAUCCGAAGAGUCGCGUACCCUAAGAAAGAAAUUCCAUCAACCAUCGAAGUCAGUUCGGCUGGAUCGAUAGAAUAAGGAUAGCUAUUACCUAACUUGCUUGCAUUCCUCGCUUUCAGAUGAGGCGACCGACGGAAGGAAAGUUCAUCAAAUCCAUAACCCUAAACGAAGAAAACCAACGGAGAAAGAGAAAGAAAGCAAUACCGAAAUCAGAACUUGUUCGCAUAUUGUAUUCCGCUCGCGAAACUGGUGUUAUUUAAGGUUGGCUAACAGCUUUCCGGGCAUACUAAUAGAAAGGGAUAAUAUAUAAGGGAAGGAAUAGAAAGGGAUAAUAUAUAAGGGAAGGCUAUCUCUGGAGGAAAUCAAAUAAUAAGGAAGCUACCAGACCAGACCCCAGGUAAAGAUAAGGUACAAUGCUCGAUGAACGAUCUAACAAGAGAGCAUAUGAAAGGAAAGAUCAUUCGUCCGGGGAAUAUAAAUAGAAGGUAGCUGUAAGGGAAUAAGCGAUGGAUAAAGCAUUGAUGAGGGAAUAAGCGAUGGAUAAAGCAUUGAUGAGCAAUCCAAUCUAGGCGGAAGAGAAUCAACCUGUCUGUUACCUUCUAUCGGUAUUUAUGAAGACGCCUAUUCUUGACAAAAAGGGAAAGUCCGGAACACAAACACUGGUUACAAGAUCGAAAUCCAAAAUAGUUCCCUGGUUCCGGGCACAGCAACGAUUAGGGGUAAGUCUAGAGUUCCCUGCUGGCUCUGUAAAGUGUAUAAGGAAGGCAAAGUGUAUCACUGAGAGAGGGGAGCUCCUGAGAUUCUAUGGUAGUCAGGUACCAGUUUGCUGUUACUUAGAAAUAGGAGGAUUAGGGAAUAUAAGGAAGAAAUAGGAGGAUUUGUAUUUGCACAAUGAAUAUAAGGAAGAAAUAGGAGGAUUUGUAUUUGCACAAUGAAUAUAAGGAAUCAAGCCGAUCUUUUUAUUGCGAGAUGAAGCAGAUAUGGCGCGUGGUCCGAGUCAGGGUUACCCUUAUCCUAGUUAAUCUAUGGUAUGUGAUAGCUAACUGUUUAGGGCGGACUUCCCCCAAGGUUGACGGCGAGAAGUCGACGACACUAAACUUGACGUCCCUAUACGUGGCAACGGCUAGGGUAGCCUACGCAAGGGCUCUCCAAAGUGUUCUAUUUGGACUUUUCGUUUUAGGUACGGGCUAUUAGGCUAGGACACUGUCUUAUUUAGCUCCCCCCUAUUGCCUUUCCAAAUCAACUCAUGUAAUUGUGGAGUUAGUUGCUGGUCUACUGCAGCACCGGUUGAGGGCUUAUCGCGUACCGAAGAGAAAAUGUCACCCCUUCCACUCAAGGCGAUGGGAAAUUCUGGAAACAAAAGUCGGCUUUCGCCACUCCAUGGGAAUGCCUUCUAUACUAAUAUAAUAGUGGACGAAACUUUCUUUGAUUUGAGUCGUUCCAUUACAUUUGGAUUCCGUUGAUCUUUUUGCUGUGUGUCCUCUCACCUUCGGCUGAUUCAAUGCUGUCGAUGACCAUACUUUCCUUCUUCACUGGGCAAGACAUCAUAUUCUCUUUCGUGCUGCCUAUAAUCCUUGCCAUUUCUGUCGUUUCCAUCCCGCGUUGACUCUUUACAAUAGGGGCCUUUUAGCCUUCUUUCUGGAAAUCUAUACCAAUCCGUUUGUUGGGCUUGCAUACUUAUUUGUGGGGUUUCGAUUCGUUAAAAGGGAUUAUUGUAGGCUAACGGUGCUGCUUCGAUUGGUGUAACGACUACCCGCUCAGGACGCAACACUCGCCGAAACGGGAAGCUAAACUCACCUAGACCUCUUGUACACAAAAGAUUCUUGACUCAGAUAUGGUGCGACUCUUUGUUUUAGGCUCAAUAGCAUACUCGUCUUAGGGGGCAUGUCUUAUCUCUCUCUCGCUCUCCAUUCAACUACCAGACAAGCAAGGAAAGUCGCUGGAAGGAAAUUGGUGAUUGACCUUCUUCUCCACUUGUAUUGUAGUAGGAAAUCCACAUAAAAGAGCUGGAACCUACUUAGGAACUAAGGGCUUUUCAACGCGGAAGGCGCGAACGAAGAAGUUUGAUGAACCACAUAGCUUAAGAAAUAGUAAACCAUCCAACUUUCAUAGCUAAGAAAUAGUAAACCAUCCAACUUGUGUUUUAUAGUGCACAUUUCGAAUCUCAAAUUGAUGCAUCGAAUUUCAUUAAUGGAAUUGUUGGCUCUUUGAAAGAUGGAGCUGCAUGUGUUCUACUUUGACCCCAAAGCAAAGUCAAGAAAGGAAGAAGAAUGGACUGCUGCUGCAAUUGCAAGUUUAGGAGCCGGGCACCCUUUCAGGGCUAGUGUUUUUUCUGUUGUUUGGCACCAUCUUUUGAUAAAGGUGCGAAGCGCUCUCCUUAAACCAUCUACAAAAGGGUAAAGGGAGUGAGGCGCAUUCAUAAAAGCUUUUUUCACGGGUGGGCCUUUUAAGGAUUGGCAGUUCUUGGUUCAUAGAUCCAGGGGAAGCCCUCACAAUAGAUUAAUCCCGAAUAUGUAUUGUGGGGACAUGGAAGACUUCUCUUUUCUGGACAUAUUCCUGUUCCAAAAGUAUUUGUCCCCGGGACUCCUGCCGCGCAACUACUUCUGAAUUGAAUUGAAGCUGUUUCAAGAUCAUACUUAGUUUCAAGAGCAAGAGAUGAGCCAUAGUUAUAGUUUACAGAGGUAUCGAUGACUUUCGAGUUUCUUUCUUGAAGACCGCUUCUUUUCAUAUAAGUAUUAGUAAAGAGUUGAAGACGGGGGUUAAGAAGAGAUUGAGGUUAAGUCGUCAGCAGAAUAAUUGAUAGUGAGAGUUGCGCGUCAGUCUCAAUUAGUUCUAGUUUGUGGAGUGAGGCUUUAACAGCACCUCUGCAAUCGAUUCUUCAAGUGGAGUUUUGCUCGAUAGAUUCGAAAUUGGGUAGCAGAACACUACUGGUCCAGACUUCUAAAUGGUGUAGCAAGAGAAGAGAUAUUAUUGGAUUUUGCUUGUUUGUUGUGCGUUAGUAGAUUUCUCUAAUUACCUCUGUACUGUACCCCGGCCUUAUAGCCUUAUAUAAUUCCAUUCGCUAACAUCACUAUCACUCCCCGGAAAGUCAACAACUCUAGUUCGCACACCAGUACUUUUGGAUUCCCCAAACUACACUUCCCCUUCCUUUGCCAAUAGAAACUUGAAGUUAACAAUGAAAUGGAAUAUCUCUUGCGGGCGGAUCACCUUGUCAAACAAGAAUCGAAUCCAUCUCUUGCGCUGAGUAUCUAAGAGACCCCCUUCUCUAAGUAUCUAAGAGACCCCCUUCUCUAAGUAUCUAAGAAUAUUACCCCUUAUCUAAUGGAUCAAGCAACAAAGAAUUCCACUUAUGAUCCUGAUCUCGUUGACAACAAAUCUGACUCCUUUUCGCCCGUAAAGUAAACUACGGACGUUCCUCCAUUAGAGUUGAUGCGCCUAUUCUUUCUUUUGAUGCGCCUAUUCUUUCGCGGAGCAGUAAUGGACUUUUGCGUUUCGCUGUUAGGAGUUUUAUUAGGUAGAGCUAUUAUUGUAGUUGUGCACCAUCUUCCAGAAGCCCACUCUACGGGCAGUAACUAAAAGAAAAAGGGUAAGCGCGAAAGACGGUAAGAAUAGAUUGAAAUAGAAAUUCAAACAAGCAGUUGCCCUUAUAUGAAAUUAGCCGGAGGUUUGCCCUAGUAGAUAGCGAGCGUCAGUGAGUCGUUUUCCUUAUAUUGAUACAGA
rnacentral:lncRNA from 1 species